UACGUAGGAGGCAAGCGUUGUCCGGAGUUACUGGGCGUAAAGCGCACGCAGGCGGUCGUGUCAGUCUGAGGUGACAGUUCCCGGCUUAACCGGAAAAGGACUCUGGAAACUGCACGACUUGAGGGCUUCAGAGGGAUGUGGAAUUCCAGGUGGAGUGGUGAAAUGCGUAGAGAUCGGCAGGAACACCCAGGGGGAAACCAGUGGACUGGGCAUGCGCUGACGCUCAGGUGCGAAAGCGUGGGGAGCGAACCGG
rnacentral:rRNA from 1 species